AUGCCAGGGACACUUUCCUGGCUGAGCACAGGACGCCCAUCUCCUCCUGGGCUGCGUUGCCGGUGCCCCUUAGGCCGCUCUGGCUCAACUCCGUUCCUGGGACGAGCUGCCCCCACCCUUUGCCCCCCAGUUCAGCCUAGGCUGGGACCCUCCUCCUUCAGGGUGGACGUUCGGGAGUGGACACGCGCAGCGCCGCGCCGUGUGCCAGGCGCUAAUGCAGGCGCUGGGGGCCGAGAGACCCAGGAGACGGCGCAGGGGCCCGGGCCGCCGCGUCCCGGCAACGGCGAGGUCCCUCCUCCGAGGCGGAGGGGGCUGGAGGAGGCCUCGCGGCCCGGGAGGAGGCUUCCCCGCCCAGGAGGGGGCUCGCCUGAGUCUCGAAGCACGAGCAGCGUUUCCAUGCUUUCCCACAGCUGGGGUGCUGCGGUUAUCGCUCUAGAAGGCGACUGCCACGGAGGCGGCAGGGGCAGAAGGAGCGGGGAGGAAGGAGAAAGGGGUCCUCCGGGGCUUUCCAUCCCGUCCUCUCCAUCCCGUCCUCGAUCCUUUAAGGAAGAUGAGCCCCGAGCUCCCGUCCGUGCCGCCCCCUCUGUCCGCGGGGCCGGCGGGGGCCAGCCCUGCAACUGCCAUUUUUUAAAAGGCACUGACUGUGCCUUAGAGACGCUCCUAAGUGCUAGAGAGUGCCCUCUUUCUGGGCACAACGUUGUCCGUCGCUACACGCACCUGGCAACCGCGGGAGGCCCCACCUGCCGGGGUGCCCCACCUGCCGUCCCCCUGUCCCCGGGCGUCCUGGAGCCGGGAGCCCCGGCGUGCGUCCUGCGGCCAGAAGUGCAGAAGGGUUUGGUCCCAUCUCAGCGGACGCGCGCGGGCCCUGCAUCCAAGGAGAGGCCUUUGCUCCGUUCAAUGUCAGGCCCACUACAAGUGUGCUGCGGUGGGGAAGACGCUGAAGACCAAGCUGCCGGUGGUUCCUUUUGCUGAAUACGGAAGAAAAGACCUGCUACAUAUUUGCUGCCUCAUUUAACCUUCACGAUAAUCCUAUGAGGUAGCAUCACUGUGACCCUCAUUUUAGAGGAAAGAAUGCUAAGGCUCAGGUUUUUCGUGGUCAGUGCUGAGAUUCAAAGCCAGCUCUGUUGGACUGAAGGCCCCUCACGCGUGCUGCCUUCCUGCCAUGGAAGAGCUUCUCAUCCUCCGUGGAUAAUAUUCACCUGAGAAUAAAGGAUACGUCACCCAGGGAAGUCCCUACA
rnacentral:lncRNA from 1 species